UACGUAGGGGGCAAGCGUUGUUCGGAAUGACUGGGCGUAAAGGGUGCGUAGGCGGUGUAGCAAGUUAGAAGUGAAAUACCUAGAGCUUAACUCAGGUGCUGCUUCUAAAACUGCUAUACUUGAGUGCAGUAGGGGAAAGUGGAAUUCCUAGUGUAGCGGUGGAAUGCGUAGAUAUUAGGAGGAACAUCAGUGGCGAAGGCGACUUUCUGGACUGUAACUGACGCUGAGGCACGAAAGUGUGGGGAGCAAACAGG
rnacentral:rRNA from 1 species